rnacentral:rRNA from 1 species
GAUGAACGCUAGCGGAAGGCAUAAUACAUGCAAGUCGAACGGAUGUAGCAAUACAUUAGUGGCGCACGGGUGCGUAACGCGUAUGCAACCUACCUUCAUCAGGGGGAUAACUACCCGAAAGGGUGGCUAACACCGCAUAAUACUAGUGAGUGGCAUCACUUGAUAUUUAAAUCUGAGGAGGAUGAAGAUGGGCAUGCGUCUGAUUAGCUAGUUGGUGUGGUAACGGCGCACCAAGGCGACGAUCAGUAGGGGAACUGAGAGGUUGGUCCCCCACACUGGCACUGAGAUACGGGCCAGACUCCUACGGGAGGCAGCAGUAGGGAAUAUUGGUCAAUGGUGGGAACACUGAACCAGCCAUUCCGCGUGCAGGAAGAAGGGUCUCUGACUUGUAAACUGCUUUAGCAAGGGAAGAAAAAGCUCAGGCGUGAGAAAUUGACGGUACCUUGAGAAUAAGCACCGGCUAACUACGUGCCAGCAGCCGCAGUAAGAC